rnacentral:rRNA from 1 species
UGCAAGUCGAACGAUGAUGCCAGCUUGCUGGUGGAUUAGUGGCGAACGGGUGAGUAACACGUGAGUAACCUGCCCUUGACUCUGGGAUAAGCCUGGGAAACUGGGUCUAAUACCGGAUAUGACUCCUCAUCGCAUGGUGGGGGGUGGAAAGCUUUUGUGGUUUUGGAUGGACUCGCGGCCUAUCAGCUUGUUGGUGAGGUAAUGGCUUACCAAGGCGACGACGGGUAGCCGGCCUGAGAGGGUGACCGGCCACACUGGGACUGAGACACGGCCCAGACUCCUACGGGAGGCAGCAGUGGGGAAUAUUGCACAAUGGGCGGAAGCCUGAUGCAGCGACGCCGCGUGAGGGAUGACGGCCUUCGGGUUGUAAACCUCUUUCAGUAGGGAAGAAGCGUAAGUGACGGUACCUGCAGAAGAAGCGCCGGCUAACUACGUGCCAGCAGCCGCGGUAAUACGUAGGGCGCAAGCGUUAUCCGGAAUUAUUGGGCGUAAAGAGCUCGUAGGCGGUUUGUCGCGUCUGCCGUGAAAGUCCGGGGCUCAACUCCGGAUCUGCGGUGGGUACGGGCAGACUAGAGUGAUGUAGGGGAGACUGGAAUUCCUGGUGUAGCGGUGAAAUGCGCAGAUAUCAGGAGGAACACCGAUGGCGAAGGCAGGUCUCUGGGCAUUAACUGACGCUGAGGAGCGAAAGCAUGGGGAGCGAACAGGAUUAGAUACCCUGGUAGUCCAUGCCGUAAACGUUGGGCACUAGGUGUGGGGGACAUUCCACGUUUUCCGCGCCGUAGCUAACGCAUUAAGUGCCCCGCCUGGG